rnacentral:rRNA from 1 species
GAUGAACGCUAGCGGCAGGCUUAAUACAUGCAAGUCGAGGGGCAGCACAGGUAGCAAUACUGGGUGGCGACCGGCAAACGGGUGCGGAACACGUACACAACUUACCUUAGAGUGGGGGAUAGCCCAGGGAAACUUGGAUUAAUACCCCAUAAAACAGGGGGCCCGCAUGGGCAUAUUGUUAAAGAUUUAUCGCUUUAAGAUGGGUGUGCGUAUGAUUAGGUAGUUGGUAGGGCAAAGGCCUACCAAGCCGACGAUCAUUAACUGGUGUGAGAGCACGACCAGUCACACGGGCACUGAGACACGGGCCCGACUCCUACGGGAGGCAGCAGUAAGGAAUAUUGGUCAAUGGACGGAAGUCUGAACCAGCCAUGCCGCGUGAAGGAUGAAGGUCCUCUGGAUUGUAAACUUCUUUUAUAGGGGGCGAAAAAGGGCCAUUCUUGGUCAACUGACGGUACCCUAUGAAUAAGCACCGGCUAACUCCGUGCCAGCAGCCGCCGUAACAC